rnacentral:rRNA from 1 species
GUGAGGAAUAUUGGACAAUGGGCGCAAGCCUGAUCCAGCCAUUCCGCGUGCAGGAUGAAGGCCUUCGGGUUGUAAACUGCUUUUGUACGGAACGAAAAGCCUCUGGUUAAUACCCGGGGGUCAUGACGGUACCGUAAGAAUAAGCACCGGCUAACUACGUGCCAGCAGCCGCGGUAAUACGUAGGGUGCGAGCGUUAAUCGGAAUUACUGGGCGUAAAGCGUGCGCAGGCGGUGAUGUAAGACAGUUGUGAAAUCCCCGGGCUCAACCUGGGAACUGCGCUUGUGACUGCAGUGCUGGAGUACGGCAGAGGGGGAUGGAAUUCCGCGUGUAGCAGUGAAAUGCGUAGAUAUGCGGAGGAACACCGAUGGCGAAGGCAGUCCCCUGGGCCUGUACUGACGCUCAUGCACGAAAGCGUGGGGAGCAAACAGGAUUAGAAACCCGGGUAGUCC